rnacentral:rRNA from 1 species
AUUGAACGCUGGCGGCAUGCCUUACACAUGCAAGUCGAACGGCAGCGGACCUUCGGGUGCCGGCGAGUGGCGAACGGGUGAGUAAUAUAUCGGAACGUACCUUUCAGUGGGGGAUAACGUAGCGAAAGUUACGCUAAUACCGCAUAUUCUGUGAGCAGGAAAGCAGGGGAUCGCAAGACCUUGCGCUGAUUGAGCGGCCGAUAUCAGAUUAGCUAGUUGGUGAGGUAAAGGCUCACCAAGGCGACGAUCUGUAGCAGGUCUGAGAGGAUGAUCCGCCACACUGGAACUGAGACACGGUCCAGACUCCUACGGGAGGCAGCAGUGGGGAAUUUUGGACAAUGGGCGCAAGCCUGAUCCAGCCAUGCCGCGUGAGUGAAGAAGGCCUUCGGGUUGUAAAAGCUCUUUCGGCCGGGAAGAAAUCGCACAGGUCAAUACCCUGUGUGGAUGACGGUACCGGAAUAAGAAGCACCGGCUAACUACGUG